AUCUCCGCUGUGGGGGCAGUUACUGCCCUAUGGGACUUAAUUCGCCUUCACCAGGCAAUAUGAUUAAUUGGUCCAUUUUACAGAUAGGCUAAUAGAGACACCUGGAGUAAGAGACGUAUGAACAGUACUUCUCAUAGAUGAGCUUUUAAGUGAUUCCGAUACUCAGUCCCACCUGACUCUCAGAACCACAACAGGACAGGCAAGAUCCCAUACAAAACGGCCACGGCAGAUCCCCGAGUAUCAGGAAGCUCCACCACUCGCAGGAGAGGCAUUUCAAGAUGGUGGCUACCACACAGGUGCUGGUUUCCUAUGUGGGUUGUUGGAGAGCCACGAAGGAAGGUUGCUAGAUCCAAGCCCAGAGCUGGGUGUACGCAGAUGCGAGACCUCGUGCAGACCUCUCUGAGGACGCUAAGAGCUAGUGGUGCGAAGGAUAAUGGAAGGUGCAUGAGACCAUGGAACAAACUCUCAGAAACCGUGAGUCAAAAUAAGCCUCCCAUCCUCUUUGGGUCCUUCACAGUAAGCCAGGGUUGCUGCUGAAAACAGAAGCCGAGAGGCACAGAACAUUCUCCACAGGUCCCCGUGGUCACCUGGGCAAGCCUGUUGGCACCUUGGCUUUGGAAUCCCGGGGUCCGGAACGGUUCCCACCUGUCAGUCUGAAUGCUUCGUCCUGGCAGCACUAGGAAAGGAUUGCCACACACCUGUGCAAGGAAGAUGCAACUGACCCAAGGCCAGAAAAAGUAGAACAC
rnacentral:lncRNA from 1 species